ensembl:lncRNA
CCCACCAAUAAUAAAUUAAUAUAUAGAUAUAUAUUAUAGGCCUCUGUUUGACAAAUUUGAUAGGCUCUGGGCCGGCUGUAUUCCCUCCUCCUCCUCUUCCUCAUUAUCACCCUCCCUCCUUUCGCCUCUCUCGCUGUCUGCAGCCGCAGCUCUUACACUCGUGUCUGACCCGCUUUAUCCGGUAAGAGAGGAUUUUUUUUUUUCCCUGCAUAACAUGUCAGGAAGUCAUCCGUUUAUGUAGCAGCUAAAAGACAUAAGAUUUGCAGUUUGUAGUUAUGGUGCUGGCAGAAAGUGGGCGAUAUAUUUAUAUAUGUACGUAUGUAAAUGUGGAGCCCAGAUUAUUUGAAUGAGUGCAUUUCUGCGGCGAAUUAUUGCUCCCGAAAAGGUUUUUUCUUUUCUUUUUUUAAAUGCAGCCGAUCUAUGUGGAUGUAAGUGUUGGAUUGCGUUCAAGUGAUUUAAAAAUGCCGGGAAUUUCAGCCCCUUAUUUAUCACCUCACAAUGAAGUCAAGCUGCCACCAGACAAGAUGAGGAGCAGCAAUCAGCCUGCAGAUGGAAACAAGGGUGGGUGGUUGGAAGGCUGGAUAAAGGCUGCUGGAUGACUGAACUCAGAGACCCGGCGCAGCUCAUCAUCAUUGCCAUGGGCUCUUGUCUUCUUCCUCUCCUCCUGUGGCUUGUACCUCCAUCCAGGGGUCCAGUAGAGCCAGUGAAGCCCAGGCGGGGAGCUAGUGAGUGGGCCGGGAAGGAUGGAGAAGGUCCCCAAAGGCUCAGAUCACCUCUGGAGCUACCGGCAUGCAGGAGAAAUCAAUAUGAAACAGAAAACCUUCACAGCUCUGAGUGGGGUUUCCUGUGUUUUAAGUGUGUGGCCUACGGGCCUGCAGACCUCCAAAAGACAGGUCCUGUGUGGUUCUCUCAGCUGCAGCCCUGGCUCCUUGGACUGGACCUCAGUCCCAAUCUCCACUGGCUGUGUGUGUGGUUCUGCUGAAGGGGAUUUCUCCCCAAAUAAUACCCAAUGCCCAGAACGUUGAAAGACUGCCAAGAGGGAUGCUCCUUUCUCUUGCCUUUUUUUUCCAUCAUAAGAUUGACGUAUCCCCCCAACCUCCUGCCUCGGGCUGAUAAAAAAAAAAAACAAAAUAAAAAAAAAAACACAGUUCGGGAGCUCUACUUUUGACUCAUUCUCCAUCCUCGACUCGCCCGUUGUUUAUUCCCCCAACUAGUUUUUACAUUUGACAAAGAGACAGAUCUUUAUUUUCUCUACCACUCGCUUGGCUUGCUGUUACUAUGGUGAGCUGUAGACACGUGUCUGUUCAAACAAGAAAUACUGGCACACGAAGUAUGAGCUUUUUUUUUUCUCCAUGAUGUCUAUUAUUCAAUUUCAGACUGUUUAAAAAAAACUGACUGAACAGCAAAGAGGGCUGGAGAUCAUAGAGCAGAGAGACCUUGUAGUGGAGAUGGUAAAAUGAUUGACGGCGCAGGAGAAAAAUCUGCUUGCGUUUGGCUCAAAGACCAGGCCUGUUCAUCUGUUGUUUUUCUGGUGUAUAACAAAACCUCAGAAACAAAGAUUUUGUUGUAAUAUGGGUUAACAUUGAUAUUUUAAAAACACCAAAAAAAAAAUGUUAUUUCAUUGUCUCUUAAGAUGUACUUUAUUGCCAACAAGCAUCUGGGGUUGAAUAAAGAAAUGUAUUUAAAGCUUUUAAAUAUAUAUUGUUUAUUGAGAGCCUUGUGUUUUGUUUGCUGUCCACUGCUGUAUUUGAUGCUCGUCAUUCGGCAAGAGUAUAGAGAAAAAUUUGAACUAAUUUUUUUAAUAAAAAGUCAGAUUGAUCACACCGCACUUUUAUUUUUGUGCCAGUUUUACAAUAAAGACUUUGUGUCUAAUGUAUAUAUAUGUGUGUGUAUAAACGCGCGGUCAAUAAAGUAACAUUAAUUUGAACCUCCUAUUUCCAGCUUUUUUUUUUUAUUACUUAGUUUUCAUUCUAAAUGCACAUUUCCCUAAAAUAUCUAAUAAGUCUAAUUUGGGCAUGAAGCUGUCACAUAUUUUUAUAAAGACCAAAAAAUGAUGGUGAAACUGAUUUUUUAACAUUCAGUUUAUUUUCUCACAUUUAUUUCAUUCAUUAUCGUAAGUCUAGCGCACUUAUAGCUAUUUACAAAACAAUACUACCUCCAGUGUCUUGUUACAUAAAGAAAUAUGCAAUAGAGAAAACUCACACAAUAACAUUUUCACUACAGUUAUUCUGACUUUUUGACAAACGUGGAAGUUUUUUUUGUUUGUUUGUUUUUUUAUUUGAUUUGUCUCAAUUUGCUGGUUUAGUGCAGAGGAAUAAACAGAAAUAUUAAAUCUUUUUGUUUUUACUUUUUAAAAAUUAUUUUUGUGUAGGCCCACACAUGCUAUUUGCCAUAAAAGACUGGUCUGUUUGUGCCUUUUUAAAUCAAACAGUGAAUGUAGAAUUUCUUUUCUUCUAGCUCAGCAAAAUUAGGCCCACACCAAACUGUGCUCAGACUCAGAGUGUAGUAGGUCAGGAAGAUUGGAAUAUUUGCAUUUUAAACAAACUGGCUUUUUGAAGCAUUUAAACAAAAAGGGGGGGAAAAGAUCGGGUUUUGAAGUUUUUAGCUACAUAUCUUUGACGUGGUUAAAAAACAAAAAUGCUCGCUAUACUGUCUACAGCACAGUUUUAAUAUUACUAACCAGAAAAGCAGGUGUAUUUGUAAAUCAAACACAAGGAGCUUAAUGGUAUAUUAU